GAGCCGGUGAUGUGGACCGUCACGUGGCUGGCGCUGUCGGUGCUGGGGGUGGCGCCCAUGGCCAUCCCCGGUGCCAUGCUGGCCGGCGCU
rnacentral:tRNA from 1 species